GGAGAGAUGGCAGAGUGGUCGAUCGCGCACGCUUGGAAAGUGUGUAAGGAGCAAUCCUUCGGGGGUUCGAAUCCCCCUCUCUCCGCCA
rnacentral:tRNA from 1 species